GGUAAUUUCUUGACAACUGUGAGAAAGAAGACGAGAUAUGAGAAAUGAAUUGUUUUUCCAGUGCAAUUGUGAACAGAUGUAUAAUUUCUUGGUCUCAGGAAUGUUCUAGGAGUCCUUCCUAUCACCUGAGAGGGGAAGGGGAGCAGGCAGGGUGCCGAGGGCCACAUGGGUGCCCAGCAUCGCAUGGCUUAGCUGGACCUAAAGAGCCGCAGCGAUAACCCGGUCACCUCUGCUGUUUCAGGGCUUCUAAAUUUGGCAGUGUGACCAGGCUCGCUUCCUUUCAGCCAUUGAUCUGAAUAGCAGAAUCCCGUUCUGAUGGCCCGAAUCACAUUUACAGGCUGUGGGGGUGAAGGCCGUGCUAAUUGGCCAGUUGCCUCACCGCUGGCUUUUAAACAAUCGGUUGUAUUCUCUGCCCGGCAGGAAGCGGCAGACCCAUCAAGGCCCUGGGCUCUCUCUUUGUUCUGACUUUAUGGCAUUUUAUGCCACAAUAAGAAACACUGUGUACUCCGUGGGAGCCCAUUGUGCCAGGCUGCGAGGAUGUGGGCUCUGGUGCUCUUCCCCAGGAAGAAAAGGGGCUUUGUGACAGGCCGGGGGACAAAACAAGGGGUGCUGGGCACUGUUACUGGGGCAACUGCCUGGCCAGUGUGGAGGCAGUUUUGGUCCCUGGGUCCCUGUCUGUGCCCAAGGAGAGAGAGGGCAGGGGAAGGAUGGAAUUUCGUCUAGAGUAGCAGGUCCCGGUUACCGGUAAAUUAUUCAUCAGGACUGUGCUAGCCACUGCCUCCGCUCUCUCUGGGGGCGGAGAUGACCUCCACCUGCCCGUGCAGGUGACCAUGUCCACCGAACCAACUCUCACACUCCGCCAGGGGACUCCAUCUGCUUCAUCAUAAGCUCCUCAAAGAAAGGGACAUCACAGCAUCACGUCUGGUAGCCACUUUCCCUGGCCCCUCUCAGCGCCUGGUACGGGGCAGUGUGUGAAUGAGUGAGGAAAUGACCACCACCAUCCACGGGAUUUGUCACCGGGUCUCUUAAUGAGACACAACCAACGAGCACAACGUGAGUGAGCCCUCCACUUCCAGCAGUCUCGACCUUCUGACACGAGCAGAGUUCAAGACUCAAACCUCCAAGUGUCCUGGGAACCCAAACGCUGCAAACGUAUCAGCCCCUGGCAUGACCCUAAGCCAAGUGAGGGAGGUGUCCCCUCUUGUCCGGGCUGCAGAGAGGCGUCUGAUGAAGAAGGAAGUCCCUUGGGGCUCAAGGUGCUGACUCAGCAAUGACCAAGUGCGCUGGGACACAUCAGAGGUCGGCCAGUCCAGCUCCCUCAUCUGGGCUGACUUUGCUCAGGCCAGGCUCCAAUUGGUGGCAGAGCUGGCUUCUCCUUCCACAUCAUGUGGCUUCCUGGAGGGCCCUGGUUCUCUUGUCAGAGCAAGGGCAGCUACAGAUGAUCGUUCCUGGUAAAUACACUGUCACUUCUCUAAUGACAAAUGGUGCCACCAUCAGCACCUUUACUUCUUGGUCUCCUUCAACAGGCACACACACUGGCACAACACACCCUGGGACCCAGAGCGAAAUG